rnacentral:rRNA from 1 species
UCUGCUAUGACCAUACCACCCUGACCAUGCCUGAUCUCAUCUGAUCUCAGAAGCUAAGUAGGGUUGGGACUGGCACAAAAGAAUGGUGGCCAGCUGAAGAAUGGAGUCUGCAGAG